CUCUCAAAUCUGCCCGCUCUCACCCUAAUUUUUUUUCUCUGUCUCUCUCUCUCUGCUAUUCCUCAGAUCCCCCCUCCGCCAAACACCUCUCGUCGCUCCCCCCUCCCCUCCGCCAGCCAUGAUGGCCACCCUCACCGCCAUCGCCGUCGCCUCCUCCUCCGUCGCCAUACGCCCGUUCUGCGCCCACCAGCCCUCCCUCGGCCCAGAUCUGGGCGAGGUCGAGCGGUCUCGCCCAUGGCCGCCGCUCGACCUCGCCCAUGGCUGCUCGACCUCGCCGUCGCCCAGAUCUGGGCGACGGCGAGGGCGAGCGGUGGCCAUGGGCGAGGCCGGGAUCCGGUGCUUCGUUGCCGAGGGCCGCCGGCGGGGGACUGGUUGAUUGCGUUGUGGUCGGGGGCGCGAUCGGCGGGCUCUGCAUCGCCGCGCGGAGCCCGUUCUUCGGGACCGCGUUCGCGGAGAGCGAGAGCGGGGCGAGGUUCGAAUCGGCGUGAGUUCUUUCUUGGGUGUUCUUCCUUCUUCUUUUUUUCUGGGGAAAAGGAAGAAAAUGGAGAGGAGCACGCCGGUGAGGAAGCCUCACACUUCGACUUCAGAUCUGCUCACGUGGUCGGAGACUCCGCCUCCCCACGAUUCGGUCGCGCCCAGUUCGAUCGCGCCCGGUUCGGCUUCCUCUCGCUCCAAUGCUCGCUCUCACCAGCCUUCGGAUGGGAUCAGCAAGGUGGUGUUUGGAGGUCCAAGUGACUGCAGAGAAAUCUGAGAAUUUGAACAAAAGGUGUCGAUAAAGGUGACUGUUCCUCAUGUCUUGCCAAGUACCAAAGCUGCCAACGUUUUAUGGUUGUCCCGCGUCCUUUUAAUGUUUUAAAUGUAUUACAUGAUGUUCAUUAGUGCUUAGCUACCUCUAUGUACUAUGAGAUUGAAUAUCGAAUACCAUCAUGUGAGACUUUGCAACUUAUACAUUGUAGAAAUUAAUAUUGUUGCUAAUUAGAUUUAAAA